rnacentral:rRNA from 1 species
GUGGGGAAUCUUGCGCAAUGGGCGAAAGCCUGACGCAGCCAUGCCGCGUGAAUGAUGAAGGUCUUAGGAUUGUAAAAUUCUUUCACCGGGGACGAUAAUGACGGUACCCGGAGAAGAAGCUCCGGCUAACUUCGUACCAGCAGCCGCGGUAAUACGAAGGGGGCUAGCGUUGCUCGGAAUUACUGGGCGUAAAGGGCGCGUAGGCGGACAGCUUAGUCAGAGGUGAAAGCCCAGGGCUCAACCUUGGAAUUGCCUUUGAUACUGGCUGUCUUGAGUUUGGGAGAGGUGAGUGGAACUCCGAGUGUAGAGGUGAAAUUCGUAGAUAUUCGGAAGAACACCAGUGGCGAAGGCGACUCACUGGCCCAAUACUGACGCUGAGGCGCGAAAGCGUGGGGAGCAAACAGGAUUAGAUACCCGAGUAGUCC